GACGAACGCUGGCGGCGUGCCUAACACAUGCAAGUCAACGAGAAAGGGGUAGCAAUAUCCUGAGUAAAGUGGCGCACGGGUGAGUAACACGUAGGUAAUCUGCCAUUAGGACGGGGACAACCACGCGAAAGCGUAGCUAAUACCCGAUGAAUCAGCGAUACCGCAUGGUAUUGCUAUUAAAUACCGCAAGGUGCCUAAUGAUGAACCUGCGUCCCAUUAGGUAGUUGGGAGGUAACGGCUCACCAAGCCGACGAUGGGUAGCUGGUCUGAGAGGAUGAUCAGCCACAC
rnacentral:rRNA from 1 species